rnacentral:lncRNA from 1 species
AGUGCUAGCAUAGAAUCUAACAAGAAAUGGCCCUGCAUCCAUUCUCUUUUCUUCUAAUAACAGCCCCAGAUUUCCAUUUUUGGACCUACCUUUUCCUUUUUAUCAGGCUAAGUGUUCAUGGUGGGGCUCUGUCCUUAGUUCCAGGGAUAAAGCCUGUGACCCAAACUUAAACCGCAGAUCAUUUUCCCCAGGCCAUGGAGAUUGUUUCAAAUGUGGGCACAUGGCCUGAAUGGGUCAUAUCAGAGUAAAUCUUAGGGCUUCUGGGUUAUGCCACCAUCACAGGCUCUUGCUUUCCUCACUGAACUUGAACCUAGACGGAUGUAAGCUGGAGCUGUGGCAGCCAUCAUUGCCCUGUGAAAAGUCCACUUGGAGCUGCCAAAGACCACCCCAGGAGCUUCAGAAUGAAGACAACCUGGAAGUCAGAGCUGACAGAAAUAAGGUGAAGUUAGCUUGAGGAAAGAGCUGUAAGGAAGAGUGAAGUCAGCUGAGUCAAGGACACAAGCGGAAAAUGUGCAAAGAUGAGCCAGAAGCAUGGAAAAGUACCUCCAAGACAGAGGAGAACUGAUCCAAGAGAAAGGAGAUGGGAGUGGGCAUCACGUACAGCCAGAGGGCGCCACCUGCCGGAUCCAUCGAAUGACCUGGUUCACAAGAGAAGCCAGAGUGCAGUCAGGACAAGGCAAACAGCCCUUUACUGGAAGAAUUGGGCAAUCUAUCUGGUGAG